rnacentral:misc_RNA from 1 species
AACCAUAGAAACCUGCGGAGUACCUGCGGAAGGAUCAUUAACGAGUUGGAACGCAGAGGUUGAUGCUGGUGCGCAUAUAUUGUGUACAUGUGCUCGCCUCUGUUCUCUUCAUCCACUCAACCCCUGUGCACUUUAUCAGAGUUAGUAGUAGUAGUCAUUGUGGUGGCCAUUUGUUAUAUUCAUUGUUAAUGAUAAUAACACCUCGGUUCUACUUGCUACUAUGAACACUUUGACUUUAUU